AACCCAUGGUGUGGGCAUUGGUUAGUGUAGCUCCUGAAUCUCUCAUAUGCUUCACCAAAACUCUCAUUGCUGUGUUGAGUGAAGCUAGAGAUUUGGUUUCUCAAUUU
rfam:Eutrema salsugineum unplaced genomic scaffold scaffold_21, whole genome shotgun sequence.